rnacentral:tRNA from 1 species
GCCGGCAUAGCUCAGUUGGUAGAGCAGCGGUUUUGUAAACCGAAGGUCGCGGGUUCGAUCCCUGCUGCCGGCACCA